GAUGAACGCUGGCGGCGUGCCUAAUACAUGCAAGUCGAGCGAACAGAUGAGGAGCUUGCUCCUCUGACGUUAGCGGCGGACGGGUGAGUAACACGUGGAUAACCUACCUAUAAGACUGGGAUAACUUCGGGAAACCGGAGCUAAUACCGGAUAAUAUAUUGAACCGCAUGGUUCAAUAGUGAAAGACGGUUUUGCUGUCACUUAUAGAUGGAUCCGCGCCGCAUUAGCUAGUUGGUAAGGUAACGGCUUACCAAGGCAACGAUGCGUAGCCGACCUGAGAGGAUGAUCGGCCACACUGGAACUGAGACACGGUCCAGACUCCUACGGGAGGCAGCAGUAGGGAAUCUUCCGCAAUGGGCGAAAGCCUGACGGAGUAACGCCGCGUGAGUGAUGAAGGUCUUCGGAUCGUAAAACUCUGUUAUUAGGGAAGAACAAAUGUGUAAGUAACUAUGCACGUCUUGACGGUACCUAAUCAGAAAGCCACGGCUAACUACGUG
rnacentral:rRNA from 1 species